UAUUUACAGUUUACAAAUGGUGGGCCUGA
rnacentral:piRNA from 1 species